rnacentral:rRNA from 1 species
GCAAGUCGAACGAGAUCUUCGGAUCUAGUGGCGCACGGGUGCGUAACGCGUGGGAAUCUGCCCUUGGGUUCGGAAUAACGUUUGGAAACGAACGCUAAUACCGGAUGAUGACGUAAGUCCAAAGAUUUAUCGCCCAAGGAUGAGCCCGCGUAGGAUUAGCUAGUUGGUGAGGUAAAGGCUCACCAAGGCGACGAUCCUUAGCUGGUCUGAGAGGAUGAUC